UGCUUUCUGUUGGCAAAACCGCUUUGCCCAGCAGCCUGGAGGAGGGGACUUGGUGGAAAGAAACAACGAUGGCAUCUAGACUUUUUCUAGCUCAGGUUUAGAGUCCACCCAUCUGUGUGUCUGUGCUUGAACUGUUUCAAGGUGUAUGUGUGUAUGUGGAAGGCUCAUAUCGUCAGACAGGUCGGAAUUCAGUUCGACUACUUGCCGCAGGCCAAUCAGAAAGAGAGUUUUUAUGUAGGCUAUUCUCCCUGCCUGAUUUGUGUUCCAGUCUGAGGAACCCAGUGUCCUGAUUUGCUUAUUAACCACUAAGUUUGGAUUGAUGCGGCAUGAAUGUACAGAAAAACAACUAUAAAUCACAGUGAAAUUGGCCAUAUUGCAGAUAAUUGAUGUGCUAGUUAAACCCACCUGAGUUUUGCAGCAGCUUCCUUGUAUUUCUAUUCAAACAUUGCAAAAUCAGAAGAAGCACUGGAAGCAGGUUGACAAUACCUGGCAAGCCAUGAGGACAUAUAGCAACAGCAUGAAGGAUUUUACUCCUGCGUGGUCCCUGUUUUCCAGUGUCUGAGAAUGCCUCUUACAAAACUGUAAAACUAUCGACAUCCACAUAGAAUUUUAGUGUUCAACUAAAUUUAAUUCUUUGACAGGUGGUGGUUACAAUGUACCUGCAAUACCUGCCAACAUUAGCAGGAGAUUGACAGUCAAAGCUAGACUUGGCAGGACAUAAAUCUCUUUCAUUCAUACUUGGUCUC
rnacentral:lncRNA from 11 species